GUCCUCUCUUUGGCAGCACGUAAACUAAAAUUGGAAUGAUACAGAGAAGACCAGCAUGCCCCCUGCACAAGGAUGACAUGUAAAUUUGUGAAGCUCCCCAUAUUUUU